UACGAAGGGGGCUAGCGUUGCUCGGAAUUACUGGGCGUAAAGGGCGCGUAGGCGGACAGUUUAGUCAGAGGUGAAAGCCCAGGGCUCAACCUUGGAAAUGCCUUUGAUACUGGCUGUCUUGAGUUCGGGAGAGGUGAGUGGAAUGCCGAGUGUAGAGGUGAAAUUCGUAGAUAUUCGGCGGAACACCGGUGGCGAAGGCGACUCACUGGCCCGGUACUGACGCUGAGGCACGAAAGCGUGGGGAGCAAACAGG
rnacentral:rRNA from 1 species